UCUUCAAGGAGUCGAGGCUGUGUGUGUUUGCCUCCCUCCCAGAUUCCGUUCCGGGGGGACAGCCCAGCCUGGAGCAGGAGGGGAUGUAAGGCAAGACUUCACAGCUCUUGGCGUCCGGACCAGAAGGGCCCGUUCUGACCUGGAAGCCAGCUAAUGUCCACUGACCAGGCUCCCGAGGUCACUCAUGCCACAGAAGGAGUCUCACACACGUCAUUGUUUAGCCUGUCUGUGUUCGUGCAGGUCGGGGUGGAAGGUUACGCCGGACAAAUCACAGAAACCUCAAUCCGUAGGAUACAGUGUAGGAGUUACUGUGGGAGGUAACAGGACUCCUGAUAUGUAUGGUUGUGGCACAAGAAGGUGUAUUGAUUCCAAGCCCUGAAAGGCAUAGUGUCAACACUCAGGAGUGAGUGAAGAGUGACCUUGCCUCAGAAGGACGCUCAGAAGGGAAGAUGAGCAGGAGUCAGGAAUGCUUCUCUCUUAGAAGAAAAAUUAUAUUCUCUGUUGAUCGUUAUGUUCUCUCCCUCUGAAAUGCGAUUUAAACCUUACUAAUGUUCAGCUCUCAAGUAUCCUACCUAACACAUUUGCUCACAGUCGCUCGUGGUGUUUUCUGAACCCUCUUCCAUCUUUAGACAGAUUCCAUCUCACCAUGAACCACUGACAUCAAACUCGUGAAGCAUUUCCAUUUGGGGUUGAAUCGUUGGAAGGACUUCAUGUUCAGAUAGGGUUUGGAGAUGGGGUGAAUUAUUUCCGUUUUGGCCCUGAGUAGCUUGUACUGGACCAACUAACCAGUGACAGCAGUGAAACUAAAGUACACAAGCAACUGCACAGAGGCACUGAGGUGUAGCCUGUUCAGAUGACGUGAUACAGUCUGAGAAAAGGGAAGCUCGGUGAUGUGAUUUUCAUAUUCAUACUGGCUUUUUCUACUGAAGCAUCUGGGAAUGAACACCACGGAAGGACAGUCCAGAGAAAUAGGCAGCUUUUCUUGACUGAGAACAAAAUCAGCUGGAAAUCUGUUCAAGCGAAAUAUUGAGGCUUCUGCUUCCAGGUAAGAUGUUGAGUAGAGACAAGACAGACAACAGGAAAUUAGAUGUUUUAGAUUCAGAGAUUUGUGAAACCAGAGAGGACUCUAAGAACCAGGAAGAGACCAUCUGAUUUCCACACCUGGGGGAAUUUGCUUCAUAUAGACAGUGAAAAUCAUGGGCAAAAUCACUAUGAGGAAAUAACAAGUAGAUGGAUAUAUAAACAUGUGGACUGACACAGGCUGAUUGAAAUAUAGAGAAUCUCCAGUACUGGGAUUCUUUUCCCCAUAGGUUUUUAGGUGUGGAUAAAGAGAAAAAGAACGCGUUUUGUCUUCGCAGUUUAUACUACUUUGGAAGGUGUCUUCAAUAAGUCUAGAGGAAUGACCUGAAAGACAUGAAUGUCUGAAUGAAAUCAAAGCUGCCACCUAGCCUGAGUCUAUUCCAACUCCUGGAUGGAAGAAGUGAUGUUUCCUCACUCUAAGAGAAAAAUAAACUUGUCUGGGUAAAACCAUA